GAUGAAGAACGCAGCGAAAUGCGAUACUUGGUGUGAAUUGCAGAAUCCCGUGAACCAUCGAGUCUUUGAACGCAAGUUGCGCCCGAAGCCAUUAGGCCGAGGGCACGCCUGCCUGGGCUUCACACGUCGUUGCCCCCCCAUCUACUCCUUCGGGAUUGCGGGGGGCGGAUGAUGGCCUCCCGUGCGCCUCGUCGCGCGGUUGGCAUAAAUGCCAAGUCCUCGGCGACGCACGCCACGACAAUCGGUGGUUGCGAAACCUCGGUUGCCCGUCGUGUGCGGUCGUCGCGCAUCGAGGGCUCGAAAAAAUUGUCGGGCUCCGGCUCGGCUUUCAACGCGACCCCAGGUCAGGCGGGGUUACCCGCUGAAUUUAAGCAUAUCAAUAAGCGGAGGA
rnacentral:misc_RNA from 1 species